GCAAAAGAUCAUCAUAGUCAUCAUCGUCGUCAUCAUCAUCAUCAUCAUCAUCAUCAUCAGUAGGAACAAUCAUAAGCUUCUGCAGAGUACUGCCUAUGCAUGAUGUCAGGGGCUACUACUUGGAUGGAGGCCAUUUGAAUCCUGCACUACAGCUUGGCAGCAAAACUUACCCUGAGAUGCCUCUCUUUACCUCCCAUCUCAACUAUUCAUCAUUUCCAACCUCUUUACUAAUCUCUGGCCAUUUCUGCCAUUCUUUCAAUCUUGGCCUCCUUUAAAUGCCUCAUUUCUGGGAGAGGAGCCUUACCUGCUUUGGGAGAGUGCAGAGACUGCUCAGCCCUUUCUAACCACCCAUGGUCCCCCUUCAUUGUCCUCCUCAUUCACAGGGACAUAUGGGAAUCCACUGGGUCAUCUCUUUAGCUCUUUCAUUCCUGUGUCUCAUGUGUCUCAGAGGGAGUGAGUGGUGGAGGCCCUGCCUGGGGGAGCUGAACCAGGAGCUUAGAUAGCUCUAAGUGUGAUGGGUCUGCACUGCAGUAGAGGGGGCACACAAGCCCUAUUCUAUUCCUCCCCCCCCACUGCUCCAUAGAGUGUUAAAGAAGCCAGGCGGAGCAUGCUAUGGGAAGCCCUUCCAAGAAUUUCACAAGGCUGUAAAAGAGAAGGAAUGGAGGCCAGAGAUAUUCCUGUGGAAUCUGAUACCUAAACAGUAUUGUGACUUUGACCAUCUAUUAUCUGAUUUCAACCCCUUUCUGAAAGGGUGUCAGAUUGCCCACAAAGUGUCAUCCAACACUGAUAACAUUAGUCAGGGACUAAAUGAAUUUAAAAAAUUUUA